rnacentral:rRNA from 1 species
UACGGAGGGUGCGAGCGUUGUCCGGAAUCACUGGGCGUAAAGGCGCGUAGGCGGCCUGAUAAGUAGGGGGUGAAAUCCUGCGGCUUAACCGCAGGGCUGCCUUCUAAACUGUCAGGCUUGAGCACAGUAGAGGCAGGUGGAAUUCCCGGUGUAGCGGUGGAAUGCGUAGAGAUCGGGAAGAACAUCAGUGGCGAAGGCGGCCUGCUGGGCUGUUGCUGACGCUGAGGCGCGACAGCGUGGGGGAGCAAACAGG